rnacentral:rRNA from 1 species
CGUGAGAUGUUCGGUUAAGUCCGGCAACGAGCGCAACCCACAUCUUUAGUUGCAGAGGUUAAAGCUGGGCACUCUAGAGAAACUGCCCGUGAUAAGCGGGAGGAAGGUGUGGAUGACGUCCAGUCCUCAUGGCCCUUACGGGUUGGGCUACACACGUGCUACAAUGGCAGUGACAAUGGGUUAAUCCCCAAAAGCUGUCUCAGUUCGGAUUGGGGUCUGCAACUCGACCCCAUGAAGUCGGAAUCGCUAGUAAUCGAGUAACAGCAUGACGCGGUGAAUACGUUCCCGGGCCUU